GUGCCCGUGGCUCAAUUGGAUAGAGCACAAGAUUCCGGAUCUUGAGGUUGGAGGUUCAAGUCCUCUCGGGCAUA
rnacentral:tRNA from 6 species